rnacentral:sRNA from 1 species
UGACGUGAGCAGCGGCUCCUCCAGUGAAAGGAGCAGCACUUCAGGAGGUUACAUCUUUUACACCUUUUCUACUGUACACCCCAUCCCAGAUGAAGACGGUCCCUGGAUCACCGACAGCACAGACAGAAUCCCUGCUACCAUCCAGGCAACUCCUAGUAGUACAACGGAAGAAACAGCUACCCAGAAGGAACAGUGGUUUGGCAACAGAUGGCAUGAGGGAUAUCGCCAAACACCCAGAGAAGACUCCCAUUCGACAACAGGGACAGCUGGUAAUGGAUGGUUUAACAAGUAAAUUUGGAUGGAAACUUCCUUUUGGGUUAAGCGGUAGACAUUGAGGACAUUGAACAAAAGGACACUGGAGGAAUUGUCACGAGAUGUUAGGUUACUUAAUAAAUUAUGCUGCAGUUCACACAGAGCCAAACCUUAAAGGCUCAUAACAA